rnacentral:rRNA from 1 species
AACGAACGCUGGCGGCAUGCUUAACACAUGCAAGUCGAACGAGACAUCUGGUUCUAGUGGCGCACUGGCGCGCAACGGAGGGGAACCUGCCCUUAGUUCCGGCAUAUCCCGCCGAACGGCGUGCUAAUACCGGUAAUACUCGUUGGUCCAAAGUUUCAUCGUCUUUGGUUGUGCCCGCGUUGGCUUAGCUAGGUGGUAGGGUAAAAGCCUACCAAGGCGACGAUGCAUAGCUGGUCUGAGAGGAUGAUCAGCCACACUGGGGCUGAGGCACGGCCCAGACUCCUACGGGAGGCAGCAGUGGGGAAUAUUGGACGAUGGGCGAAAGCCUGAUCCAGCAAUGCCGCGUAAGUGAUGAAGGCCUUAGGGUUGUAAAGCUCUUUUACCCGGGAUGAUAAUGACAGUACCGGGAGAAUAAGCUCCGGCUAACUCCGUG